rnacentral:lncRNA from 1 species
UAUUUCAGCCUCUCUCAAAAAGAUCGUAGCCUUCUCUCAAAAAGAUCGUCGGAAGGGGCAGCCGUGAGGGAUUUGGGUCUGGUGUUGGAUUUGAGAGGAGAUAGGCUGGAACGGUGGGUUUGCUUCGUGGUAUUUGGUUGUAGACGGAGCUCUCGGUCUGGAAAUCGAGGGGUCGUCGUUUUGGGUCUUGUCACAUUAGAGAGAUGGGUUGUUGGUGUUGGAGAGCAAAAAGAAAAAGGAUAAUAGGCUUGUGGUAACAGGGGCUCUUAUGGGCAGUGGCUAAUUUCGGCGUGGCUGUUGGGACUGGACACACUGUGGAGAUGGCGAGUAUAGGGGUAUGGUGGUCUCGGGUGGAGACUGACUUGGGAGAGGUGGUUUGCUGUGGAUUCUUGACCAACGGUGGGAGGCUGGUGGCUAAUAUGGUUGUUGAGUUUUACGGGUCUGUGGUAGCUGUUGAAGAUGGGUUUACAGAGUGGGUUAAGGGUUGUGUUUGUGAGGCUGUUCACGGUGAAGGGACUUCUGGUUGCAGCUGCUGUGAGGGCUGUUACGAGGGUGGUUUUCGCUGCCUGUCGUAGUGAUGAAUG